rnacentral:rRNA from 1 species
CGCGUAGGCGGUUUGAUAAGUCAGAUGUGAAAGCCCACGGCUUAACCGUGGAAGUGCAUUUGAUACUGUUAGACUUGAGUACCAGAGGGGAAAGUGGAAUUCCCGGUGUAGAGGUGAAAUUCGUAGAUAUCGGGAGGAAUACCGGUGGCGAAGGCGACUUUCUUGGCUGGAUACUGACGCUGAGGCGCGAAAGACGUGGGGAGGCAAACAA